CCUACGGGGGGCAGCAGUGAGGAAUAUUGGUCAAUGGGCGGGAGCCUGAACCAGCCAAGUCGCGUGAGGGACGACGGUCCUAUGGAUUGUAAACCUCUUUUGUCGGGGAACAAAGGCGCCCACGGGUGGGCGGAUGAGUGUACCCGAAGAAAAAGCAUCGGCUAACUCCGUGCCAGCAGCCGCGGUAAUACGGAGGAUGCGAGCGUUAUCCGGAUUUAUUGGGUUUAAAGGGUGCGUAGGCGGAUUUUUAAGUCAGCGGUAAAAUGUCCGGGCUCAACCCGGGCCGGCCGUUGAAACUGGGGAUC
rnacentral:rRNA from 1 species